GUUGAUGUACAUGAUGACAGAACUUUUUUCCCCAUCAGAUCGACUCUGGUGACUUGUGAUGCUGAUUUGCCAGUACUGUCUGAUACUUCCAC